UUUGGGGCUGCAAGGUGAGGCAAAGGGAUAACUGCCCUCUCUCCACCCUGUGUCCCCAGU
ensembl:miRNA gga-mir-12269 gga-mir-12269